rnacentral:rRNA from 1 species
CAGCAGCCGCGGUAAAACGUAGGUGGCAAGCGUUGUUCGGAAUUAUUGGGCGUAAAGGGCUCGCAGGCGGUUUCUUAAGUCUGAUGUGAAAGCCCCCGGCUCAACCGGGGAGGGUCAUUGGAAACUGGGAAACUUGAGUGCAGAAGAGGAGAGUGGAAUUCCACGUGUAGCGGUGAAAUGCGUAGAGAUGUGGAGGAACACCAGUGGCGAAGGCGACUCUCUGGUCUGUAACUGACGCUGAGGAGCGAAAGCGUGGGGAGCAAACAGGAUUAGAUACCCGUGUAGUCCCUGUCUCUUAUAC